rnacentral:rRNA from 1 species
UACGAAGGGGGCUAGCGUUGCUCGGAAUCACUGGGCGUAAAGGGUGCGUAGGCGGGUUUUAAGUCAGGGUGAAAUCCUGGAGCUCAACUCCAGAACUGCCUUUGAUACUGAAGAUCCUUGAGUCCGGGAGAGGUGAGUGGAACUGCGAGUGUAGAGGUGAAAUUCGUAGAUAUUCGCAAGAACACCAGUGGCGAAGGCGGCUCACUGGCCCGGUACUGACGCUGAGGCACGAAAGCGUGGGGAGCAAACAGG